AGCCAUGCAGUGAGCACAAAGCGAACUAUUCUUUCGCCUUUUACUAAAGAAUACCGUGUGCUCGCUGCCCAAAGUGGCAUACGCUUAUUUUUGGAGAGUCUCUUUUUUUAUAGAAGGGCU
rnacentral:snRNA from 1 species